CACAGCUAUAAUGUACUUGAUCUUGAUAAUCCAAACGUGGAUAACUGUGGUAAUUCUAGAGCUAAUACAUGCACCAAAGCUCCGACUUUGUGGACGAGCGCAUCUAUUAGGUUAAAACCAAUCGGGCUUUGCGCCCGUCAAUUGGUGACUCUGAAUAGCUAUGGCUGAUCGCAUGGUCUUGUACCGGCGACGUGUCUAUCAAGUGUCUGCCUUAUCAACUUUCGAUGGUAGUUUAUGUGCCUACCAUGGUUGUAACGGGUAACGGAGAAUAAGGGUUCGACUCCGGAGAGGGAGCCUGAGAAACGGCUACCACAUCCAAGGAAGGCAGCAGGCGCGCAAAUUACCCACUCUCGGCAAGAGGAGGUAGUGACGAAAAAUAACGAGACCGUUCUCUUCGAGGCCGGUUAUCGGAAUGGGUACAAUUUAAACCCGUUAACGAGAAUCUAUGAGAGGGCAAGUCUGGUGCCAGCAGCCGCGGUAAUUCCAGCUCUCAAAGUGUAUAUCGUCAUUGCUGCGGUUAAAAAGCUCGUAGUUGGAUCUGCGCCUCAGGACCUGGUCCGUCCUUUGGACGAGAACUGGGCUCCUAGGCUAGUUGUGUCGGUUUUCCCUGUGUUGCCUUCACCGGUCGCGCAGGGUGGCCGGCGAGUUUACCUUGAAAAAAUUAGAGUGCUCAAUGCGGGCUGACGCCUGAAUACUCGUGCAUGGAAUAAUGAAAUAGGAUCUCGGUUCUAUUUUGUUGGUUUUCUGAUCUGAGAUAAUGGUUAAGAGGGACGGACGGGGGCAUUCGUAUCGCUGCGUGAGAGGUGAAAUUCUUGGACCGUAGCGAGACGCCCGACUGCGAAAGCAUUUGCCAAGAAUGUCUUCAUUAAUCAAGAACGAAAGUCAGAGGUUCGAAGCGUAAAAAAACCCCCCCCACAA
rnacentral:rRNA from 1 species